UGAAACCAGACUCACUCACCUGAUGACAGCAGCAGCAGCACCAGCAGCAGCAGCGCUCUCUCUCUAACCGGGGCCCGAUGUAAAUGCAAGAAGAAAUAACCUGGAAAAAUUCAUUACCUGCUAAAGUUGAGGACAUUUCUCUCCAGAGUCUGCUAAAACAGAUCACGUCAGCAUCAUGUCAGCCUACAGAGUGUGUGAGAGAGAGGGGGGUGUGUUUCUGUCUUUGGUUAUCUAGCUGUAUGAGUUUUAAAUACCUGUCAUAAAGCUAGAUAACCGAAAGUAGAAAUGACUUCCGUAAUAUUGCCUUCAUUCCCCAAAGAAAGCAGACUCCUCAGGCUUUACACUCUUAAAGGCUUCUGAUUAACAACGUUGAAUGAUGGGGGGAUUUCUUGAAAAGAGAACGAUCAUUAAAAGAAAAACGAGGAGAGAGAGAGGGAAAAACGGUUGGUCCGGAAUUGCCACCUCCUCCUCUCCCCUCCCCCCCCCUCACCCUUUUUGCCCAAGAGCCUUCUUCUAAUGCCAUCUGUACUGCCAACGGGGGACACUUUGCCCGUGCCAGGAGGCGGACAAAGACCCUGCCGGAUCCCCGGAGUAUGGGCGCGCUCAGAGGAGCCAUCUUGGGGAAGAUGUUGCCGCGACACCUAAAAUGGCUGGGGCUGGCAUACGAGGAUGGGACAGGAUCUGCAAGCCUUUCUGUAGGAACCUGCCUAGGAGGCACGAGGAGAUCGUGGACCAGAGACUCUCACCACAACAUGAAUUCAGGAGCUUAUCAGUCACCUGAGCGUGAAGAGUCCUACUGUAUUUUAAAGGACUAUAAAAACAAAAGAGCUGUUCUGUAAGCCUGAAAUGUAUAUCUCAAAAUAUGUCUGUUUUCAAUGAAGAUACCAGCUUUAUUUUAAGAUACUGUAUCAAUGAUAAAGUGUGUGAUCUGAAAUGUUUACACAGAUCUGUUAUUUUCAAAAUUGCAAAUAAAUAAACCUUGAAUGUUCCUACUUAUAAUUCUCUCUCAAUACAUUAUUUUCCAUAGCUAAUGCAUGUUUUAUUUAAUCAUUUAUGAAUUAAUUAUGUCUAAAUUAAAAUAGUCAUUAAUAGGAUAUAAAUGCUUUACUGAUAAAAUGUAUUGUGUUAAAUUCCCUUCUGACACUUUGAAAUAAAAUAAUGGAAAUAUCAUCA